UACGUAGGGUGCAAGCGUUAAUCGGAAUUACUGGGCGUAAAGCGUGCGCAGGCGGUUUUGCAAGACAGGUGUGAAAUCCCCGGGCUUAACCUGGGAACUGCACUUGUGACUGCACAGCUGGAGUACGGCAGAGGGGGAUGGAAUUCCGCGUGUAGCAGUGAAAUGCGUAGAUAUCUGGAGGAACACCGGUGGCGAAGGCGGCAUCCUGGACCGAUAUUGACGCUGAUGCGCGAAAGCCAGGGGAGCAAACGGG
rnacentral:rRNA from 1 species